rnacentral:rRNA from 1 species
GACGAACGCUGGCGGCGUGCUUAACACAUGCAAGUCGAACGGAAAGGCCCUGCUUUUGUGGGGUGCUCGAGUGGCGAACGGGUGAGUAACACGUGAGUAACCUGCCCUUGACUUUGGGAUAACUUCAGGAAACUGGGGCUAAUACCGGAUAGGAGCUCCUGCUGCAUGGUGGGGGUUGGAAAGUUUCGGCGGUUGGGGAUGGACUCGCGGCUUAUCAGCUUGUUGGUGGGGUAGUGGCUUACCAAGGCUUUGCCGGGUAGCCGGCCUGAGAGGGUGACCGGCCACAUUAGGACUGGGGUACGGCCCAGGGUGCUACGGGGGACAGCAGUGGUAAAUAUUUCACAAUGGGCGGAAACCUGAUGCAGCAGCGCCGCGUUCGGGAUGACGGCCUUCGAGUUGUAAACCGCUUUCGCCUGUGACGAAGCGUGAGUGACGGUAAUGGGUAAAGAAGCACCGGCUAACUACGUG